CAAUUCCCUCUUUCACUCCCUCACACACACACACACCCUCCUUAUUCCUUUCCACCUCUCUCCUGUUGCCACCCGCACCCCGGCCCAUUUCCUCUUCACCCGAUUGAGCUGCGGCGAUUCGGCCUGCGAGGAAGUUGUUGUGAGUUCAGUCUGAAUGACGGGGCAGAGAGAGACUGGGGAGAAUUCAGAGAUUGUACAACCCGAGAACCAGUACUAAGGACCGGAAGAAAUACAUUCUCUCUCUCGUUCACCAUCAACUGUGUGUCUGAAUAGCUCCCGAUGAGAUGCACCAUUCAGUGCUGGCCGUUACUGAACGCGAGUUGGGGAGGAAACUAAAGGGGGGAAGCAGCUCUGAAGCUCCAAGCUCUGUCAGUACAAAUUAAAGUCCGUUGUCUGGUUCAUACCUGAGGGAUUUAGAAUCAAAAAGCCACGUUAAAUCAAGAUCAUUAACUAGAAUCCCUUGUCCUGAUGCAAGAGUGACGCUAAAACAAAAUAACUGAGUGUAUCCAAUUCUAUUGAAACAAGCAUAGAAAACUUUCCAGUGGCUCCGUUUCUCCCGCUGUGAACAUGCGUUUCCGCUUUAUUCCUGUAUAGCCCCGAAGACCCCGGCGUGAACUGUCAGCGGUAACCGUUGGUGUAUCACGGUGGCUGUCGUUAAACCAUAUCUCAGUAAUCCCAUCUUGCUGAAGGGGGGGUGGAGUUUGGCAACUGUUUCUACAUAUUGUAACGGUGACCAGACGUCAAAAAUAUUUCAUUAAAGUAUCAAA